rnacentral:lncRNA from 1 species
GGGGUUUCUCUAUCAGCCCUGACAUGUGGCUCCCUUGGAUACUGUCUGCAAGCAAAUGUAUUUGUAAUGUUCACCCCCCCCAAAAAAAAAGAAAAGAAAACUGAGCUGAACAUAAUGUGUCAUCACGUACACACACAUCUAACAUGGACCUACAUAUUUCUUCUCAACAAGAUUAACUUUCUUGCUGUACUGAGCGCUCCUGCCCAUUUUCUAAAUGAUACUCUGCUGAUAUCUUUAAUCAUUCUGUGUGUCCGUUGCCAUAAAAGACGGGUAGCACGUGGCCAGGUGCUAGAGGCUGGGAUGCUUCCAUCAUCGGCUUUGAGUCUGUGGUGCUGUGGUUUUCAGUGGGAACGGAGGCAGAGGCGCUGGGCCCACAGAAUGGAGAGUCCUGCUCCCAGAAACGGCCUGGGCCGGCAGCCACAGAGCUGA